rnacentral:rRNA from 1 species
UCCCAGACUCCUACGGGAGGCAGCAGUGGGGGAUAUUGCACAAUGGGGGCAACCCUGAUGCAGCGACGCCGCGUGAGCGAUGGAGUACUUCGGUAUGUAAAGCUCUGUCAGCAGGGAAGAGAAUGACGGUACCUGACCAAGAAGCCCCGGCUAAAUACGUGCCAGCAGCCGCGGUAAUACGUAUGGGGCAAGCGUUAUCCGGAUUUAUUGGGUUUAAAGGGUGCGCAGGCGGAGGUGCAAGUCAGCGGUCAAAUUGCGGGGCUCAACCCCGUACUGCCGUUGAAACUGCAUCCCUUGAGUGCGCGAGAAGUAUGCGGAAUGCGUGGUGUGGCGGUGAAAUGCAUAGAUAUCACGCAGAACUCCGAUUGCGAAGGCAGCAUACCGGCGCGCAACUGACGCUCAUGCACGAAAGCGUGGGUAUCGAACAGGAUUAGAUACCCUGGUA